AGCGAACGCUGGCGGCAGGCUUAACACAUGCAAGUCGAGCGGGCAUCUUCGGAUGUCAGCGGCAGACGGGUGAGUAACACGUGGGAACGUACCCUUCGGUUCGGAACAACUCUGGGAAACUGGAGCUAAUACCGGAUACGCCCUUAUGGGGAAAGGUUUACUGCCGAAGGAUCGGCCCGCGUCUGAUUAGCUAGUUGGUGGGGUAACGGCCUACCAGGGCGACGAUCAGUAGCUGGUCUGAGAGGAUGAUCAGCCACACUGGGACUGAGACACGGCCCAGACUCCUACGGGAAGCAGCAGUGGGGAAUAUUGGACAAUGGGCGCAAGCCUGAUCCAGCCAUGCCGCGUGAGUGAUGAAGGCCUUAGGGUUGUAAAGCUCUUUUGUCCGGGACGAUAAUGACGGUACCGGAAGAAUAAGCCCCGGCUAACUUCGUG
rnacentral:rRNA from 1 species